CUUUAUCACUUUAUAUUUCUGACUACUCUGUUACUGUCAUCAACUUGUGGUCAUGAAACCACUACUUCCAGCCCUAUUUCUUUAAGCUCUAUUCCAAUCGGAAUUUGUCGCAUAAGGUGUGCUAGGAUAGCUUGUUCGCUAGUAGUUCCAAUAUGUGAAGAUGGUUCUGUUAUAGGUAGCACUAGUUUAUGCGAUUGCUGUCACAAUCGAUGUGUCAUUCCUAAAGGAGGGAGUUGUUUCAAGGGUGGCAUCCCAUGUGGCUAUCCCUAUACUUGCUGCAACGGUAAAUGCAACACUCUGAUUUGGUCUGGUUGUUAAUAAUUUUUAAAUAAAUGAGUAGUUUAGUAGAAAAA